AGGCCAGAGGUCCUGUCUGCCUUGCUCAUCAUGUUGUCCCCAGGACAGAACGCUCGGGAGGCGCUGGCUGACCCACUGUCUCUCUUGCCGAGCUCAUCGCUGUGGGCGCCGGGACAUCUGCCCUUUGUGGGCACGCGGAGGCUUCUCUCUGAAGGACCCACAUGGAAGUGGCCCCAGUGCCCUGAAUUAGGGAUCGGAGGCAAUUGGCCCUCAUGGAGCUGGAAGGGAACCCGAUCCUGAG
rnacentral:lncRNA from 10 species